UACGAAGGGGCUAGCGUUGCUCGGAAUCACUGGGCGUAAAGCGCACGUAGGCGGCUUUCUAAGUCAGGGGUGAAAUCCUGGAGCUCAACUCCAGAACUGCCUUUGAUACUGGAGAGCUUGAGUCCGGGAGAGGUGAGUGGAACUCCGAGUGUAGAGGUGAAAUUCGUAGAUAUUCGGAAGAACACCAGUGGCGAAGGCGGCUCACUGGCCCGGUACUGACGCUGAUGUGCGAAAGCGUGGGAGCAACAGGG
rnacentral:rRNA from 1 species